AACGAACGCUGGCGGCAGGCUUAACACAUGCAAGUCGAGCGCGCGGCGCGAUGCGUCAGCGGCAGACGAGUGAGUAACGCGUAGGUACGUACCGUUUCGUUCGGAACAAGACAGAGAAACUUUUGCUCAUACCGGAUACUCACGUGGGGGGAAAGAUUUAUCGCCGAAAGAUCGGCCCGCGUCUGAUUAGCUAGUUGGUGAGGUAACGGCUCACCAAGGCGACGAUCAGUAGCUGGUCUGAGAGGAUGAUCAGCCACAUUGGGACUGAGACACGGCCCAAACUCCUACGGGAGGCAGCAGUGGGGAAUAUUGGACAAUGGGCGCAAGCCUGAUCCAGCCAUGCCGCGUGAGUGAUGAAGGCCUUAGGGUUGUAAAGCUCUUUUGUCCGGGAAGAUAAUGACGGUACCGGAAGAAUAAGCCCCGGCUAACUUCGUG
rnacentral:rRNA from 1 species